CACUGCCGAGAAAAGCCUCUAGAUAGAAAAUAGGUGCCCGUACCGCAAACCGACACAGGUAGUCAAGAUGAGAAUUCUAAGGUGAGCGAGCGAACUCUCGUUAAGGAACUCGGCAAAAUGACCCCGUAACUUCGGGAGAAGGGGUGCUCUUUAGGGUUAACGCCCAGAAGAGCCGCAGUGAAUAGGCCCAAGCGACUGUUUAUCAAAAACACAGGUCUCUGCUAAACCGUAAGGUGAUGUAUAGGGGCUGACGCCUGCCCGGUGCUGGAAGGUUAAGAGGAGUGGUUAGCUUCUGCGAAGCUACGAAUCGAAGCCCCAGUAAACGGCGGCCGUAACUAUAACGGUCCUAAGGUAGCGAAAUUCCUUGUCGGGUAAGUUCCGACCCGCACGAAAGGCGUAACGAUUUGGGCACUGUCUCAACGAGAGACUCGGUGAAAUCAUAGUACCUGUGAAGAUGCAGGUUACCCGCGACAGGACGGAAAGACCCCGUGGAGCUUUACUGUAGCCUGAUAUUGAAAUUCGGCACAGCUUGUACAGGAUAGGUAGGAGCCUUUGAAACGUGAGCGCUAGCUUACGUGGAGGCGCUGGUGGGAUACUACCCUAGCUGUGUUGGCUUUCUAACCCGCACCACUUAUCGUGGUGGGAGACAGUGUCAGGCGGGCAGUUUGACUGGGGCGGUCGCCUCCUAAAAGGUAACGGAGGCGCUCAAAGGUUCCCUCAGAAUGGUUGGAAAUCAUUCAUAGAGUGUAAAGGCAUAAGGGAGCUUGACUGCGAGACCUACAAGUCGAGCAGGGUCGAAAGACGGACUUAGUGAUCCGGUGGUUCCGCAUGGAAGGGCCAUCGCUCAACGGAUAAAAGCUACCCCGGGGAUAACAGGCUUAUCUCCCCCAAGAGUUCACAUCGACGGGGAGGUUUGGCACCUCGAUGUCGGCUCAUCGCAUCCUGGGGCUGUAGUCGGUCCCAAGGGUUGGGCUGUUCGCCCAUUA
rnacentral:rRNA from 1 species